AACUUUCGGGGAUCCGCAAGGAUGGUAGCACAGGUGCUGCAUGGCUGUCGUCAGCUCGUUCCGUGAGGAGUGCCCUUAAGUGGGACAACGAGCGCAACCCCCGUUCUGUGUUAGAAAUGUCACAGAAGACAGCCCCUCCAAUUCGGAGGGGAGGAAGGAGGGGUAGACGUCAAGUCAGCAUGGCCCUUAUGCCCUGGGCUACACACAUGUUACAAUGGAAAGGACAGCGGGCUUUGCCACACCGUAAGGUGGAGCGAAUCCCUCAAACCUUCCCCAAGUUGGGAUUGAGGUCUGCAACUCGACCUCAUGAACGCGGAAUUGGUAGUAAUCGCGGAUCAGUCAUGCCGCGGUGAAUACGUUCUUGNNNCUUGCACACACCGCCCGUCAAGCCAACAAAGUCGGGGAUGGUUGAACUCCGCCUGUGGCGGGGGAAAUCAUUCCCGGCGAUGGGGG
rnacentral:rRNA from 1 species